UACGUAGGCAGCGAGCGUUAUCCGGAGUUACUGGGCGUAAAGGGCGUGUAGGCGGUUAGUUAAGUCUGGCGUGAAAGCUCUCGGCUAAACCGGGAGAGGUCGUUGGAUACUGGCUGACUAGAGGACGGUAGAGGCGUGUGGAAUUCCGGGUGUAGUGGUGAAAUGCGUAGAGAUCCGGAGGAACACCAGUGGCGAAGGCGACACGCUGGGCCGUACCUGACGCUAAAGCGCGACAGCAUGGGGAGCAAACGGG
rnacentral:rRNA from 1 species